rnacentral:rRNA from 1 species
GACGAACGCUGGCGGCGUGCUUAACACAUGCAAGUCGAACGGAAAGGCCCUGCUUUUGUGGGGUGCUCGAGUGGCGAACGGGUGAGUAACACGUGAGUAACCUGCCCUUGACUUAGGGAUAACUUCAGGAAACUGGGGCUAAUACCGGAGAGGAGCUCUUGCUGCAUGGGGGGGGUUGGAGAGUUGCGGCGGUUGGGGAUGGACUCGCGGCUUAUCAGCUUGUUGGUGGGGUAGUGGCGUACCAAGGCUUUGACGGGUAGCUGGCCUGAGAGGGUAGCCGGCCACAUUGGGACUGAGAUACGGCCCAGACUCCUACGGGACGCAGCAGUGGAGAAUAUUGCACAAUAGGCGGAAGCCUGAUGCAGCAACGCCGCGUGCGGGAUGACGGCCUUCGGGUUGUAAACCGAUUUCGCCUGAGACGAAGCGUGAGUGACGGUAACGGGUAAAGAAGCACCGGCUAACUACGUG